GUGGGUGUGUUAGUUUACUGGGGUCGCCCAAAAAGGAGCCACGGACUGAAUGACUUAACAGACCUUUUCUCGUCUCACAGCUCUGGGGGCCAGAAGCGUGAGAUCCGGGUGUCAGCAGAGCUGACGAAGAGCUGACCUCCGUGAUGCAGAAUUUUUCAAGAGAAGCCUGUCAAUCCACGCGUUUUGGUGAAAUUUCUCAAAUCAGGCAUGCCAGAUCACCACUUAAGAUCCUUUGUUAAAAGGCGCCGGGUCCCCAGAUGUGCUUCGGAGCAGCGCCUGCCUGUGGAGAGCCCGUUCGAAAGCCCUGCGCAUAGACGUCGUUAAGUUUCACGAAAGGAACUGCCAAGUAUCGGAAGCAGAUUAAUUUUUGCCACUGAGGGAGAAUGGAGAAGGCAGAGAUCAUUUUGGGGCCGUUCUUGUGACGCUCCUGGGGGCCGGAUCCUGGGUGACUCGACAGAACCGCCCCCUGUGGCUGUUGCGGGUCGCCUGGGGCUGGUCCGAUACUUCUCGGCCGAGGAGGCAUUGAUGUCACGGCCUUGGGAUCUGCGGUGUCACCA
ensembl:lncRNA